CGCGCCAAGUUUUCAAUUCAACACACUGGGACACUUUUCAGUCUUUGAGGUUGCUGGAAUCAACACAGACUACCUCCAUGCACCUUAUCAGAACACUUUGCAUGUUUUUUGUAUACUUGUCCCCUUUGUGUAUUGCUGCUAAUCUUUCUCUUUCUAGGUUCUGUUGGUUGCAUGCAGAUUGUGCCAGAUGAUUUAUCUGUCUAUGGUCUAAGCAUGGGCUCUGUGCUAAUAUGCAAUUUGUGCUCUUUUUUCCCUCAGGUCAACAGCAGACAGGGUCCUUCCACAACCACAUACUUAUGCCAGUAAAAGCUACAGCUUUUCUCCUCCGAUCCAAGAAGCCUGGACUGCAGUCACCAUCUCAACACACCAACCAAGAGAAAGGCGGAUGGCUCAAUUCAAUAUGGAAAAUUGCACAAUAAAAGUUCCAGGACAUGAAGGCUGCAUACUGUGAACGUCAACCUUCAGGGCACCGUCCUGCGCAGAAGACUUUCUACCCUAAGAGGGAUGGCUGACCGCAGACACUCACAACCAGCACAGACGCCUCCAACCUCAGACUAGGCCCUUCACAGUUGCUGCACUUACCCACCUUCCCAGAGUUUUUGUGUGGUAAUGACAACUGUAAAUAUAGUAUAAAGUAAUGUAUCUAGUGUCAUGUGUAAUACAUUGUUUAAAUUGUCCAUACAUUUCAAUGACAGUAAAUAUUGGUGGACACAAUUUGACUUUUUUUUAUUCAUUCUCUGACUGAAAAUGCAUGGUUACAUAAUUUAUAUAUUCCACAAGACCACAAUCAGAAGAUUAUUUGACAGGUUGCAUUUAUUUUCUAUGUAUGAAAAAAAAACAAUGGUAACAAGACAAACGUGGUUCCAAACCAAGGUGAGAUGUAUAAAUGUACAGAUGAAUGCUCCUACAGAUAAUGAAAAAUAAUAAAACUCUGCACACUGCCGGUUUGUGUGUUUUAUACCGUACUCUGUAUAAACCUUUUAUAUUGCUCUAGUGGAGCAGGGUAACCCUGGCUAAUCCUGGGUAUUGUACUGUGUAUUACAACGUCAACCCUGUUCAAGUGCCCCAUACUGUCUGUAGGCUGCAUGCCUGAAGAGACCGUUUCUCUCACCUGGUCCUACAUCAGCCCAAAGUCUUCCAUCAAAACUGAGAACACCACAGCAUUUCCUUUCAAUGUUCAUGGGCAUCUCCUUACAGAUUGCGCAGAGGCGCCAGGUUGGU